rfam:Pelagibacterium sp. SCN 63-126 ABS74_C0007, whole genome shotgun sequence.
GCGUAACGCCGGGCCCCUCUGGUCAUGGACUCUCCAUGGCGAUGUCGGAGUUACUCC